UGUCCUCAAAUUAAAGUGCAUUACAUGCCCCUUUUUCCUCCAGCCUGACAAUAAAAAUCAUUUAUAAACCAGUAGGGCUGGAAAAACCGUCCUAACCUUGAGUUGAAGUGCAGAUUUGACUCCAUCACUCUUACCCCUGAAUGAGAGGGUAGUUAGUUAUUCAUACUAACUUUUAUUGUGAUUCCUUUCUACUUUAAUCAAAUUAUGUCGGUGUGAUUUGGAUGAAAAAGAGAAACCUAUAACUUUGCAAUAGUUUUAUAAAUCAAUCCAACUCAAUUUCUUUUGGAUUUGUUCCUAGGUAGCAAAAAUAUGAAACUGUGUUAUAACUGGAUUAACAGAGAACAGAGAAAUUUUCAGAGGUCACAACUGUUUUCACUCUGCAAGGAGACAUUUUUAUAUUUGUUGCUGUUAGCAACCUUAACUUUAUAUUCAAUGGCCAACUACUGUGAUCACCAACUAGUAAGUAAACAUCUACUACCAAUUUGUUUUAGAGAUUACUUAACGAUACACAUAUGUCAUGUCACUAUUCUUCCUCAUUUAUGCUUUUGAAAGGAAGCUAGUGCUGAGCUGGGGCAUGAAUCCUUCUCUCCAGAUCACUUCCACAUCUGGUUAUCUACCUGGUCCUCCA
rnacentral:lncRNA from 1 species